GUGUUAAUUAUGUGGGUGUCUCCUUUGCAUGGGCAGAAUCACAUAAAAGGAGAGUACCUGCCAUUAAAAUUCAGUUCUUCUUGACCCUUCAAAACGUAGCCUUGUCUCGUUCUUGAAAGGGGAUAUGCAGCUUAAUCAUCUAGCUCUUUUAAGAGCUCUGCCUGACUCUUGCCUUGGAUCCAGUGGAUGGGAAUAAGCAACUCCACCACUACACAGCAACAUGUCGGGAAGAAAAGGACGUCUCCAAUGGCUGAUACCUUCCUACUACCUGGGUAGCUGUUACGAGAGAGAGAUAGAGAUAGUGUGGCAGAACAGACCUCGCCACGUAUUCUUGGAGGGGGCUGCUUGCCCGCCU